rnacentral:rRNA from 1 species
AUCAAGGCUGAGGCGUGAUGACGAGGCACUACGGUGCUGAAGCAACAAAUGCCCUGCUUCCAGGAAAAGCCUCUAAGCAUCAGGUAACAUCAAAUCGUACCCCAAACCGACACAGGUGGUCAGGUAGAGAAUACCAAGGCGCUUGAGAGAACUCGGGUGAAGGAACUAGGCAAAAUGGUGCCGUAACUUCGGGAGAAGGCAC